rnacentral:rRNA from 1 species
AAGAUCCCUCGAAGAUGACGAGGUAGAUAGGUCCGAGGUGGAAGCGUGGCGACACGUGGAGCUGACGGAUACUAAUCGAUCGAGGACUUAACCAA